UACGUAGGGUGCAAGCGUUGUCCGGAAUUAUUGGGCGUAAAGAGCUCGUAGGCGGUUUGUCGCGUCUGCUGUGAAAAUCCAGGGCUUAACCCUGGACCUGCAGUGGGUACGGGCAGACUAGAGUGCGGUAGGGGAGAUCGGAAUUCCUGGUGUAGCGGUGAAAUGCGCAGAUAUCAGGAGGAACACCGGUGGCGAAGGCGGAUCUCUGGGCCGUAACUGACGCUGAGGAGCGAAAGCAUGGGGAGCGAACAGGG
rnacentral:rRNA from 1 species